rnacentral:rRNA from 1 species
AGAGUUUGAUCCUGGCUCAGGACGAACGCUGGCGGCGUGCCUAAUACAUGCAAGUCGAACGAAGCUUUCUUUCACCGAAUGCUUGCAUUCACCGAAAGAAGCUUAGUGGCGAACGGGUGAGUAACACGUAGGCAACCUGCCCAAAAGAGGGGGAUAACACUUGGAAACAGGUGCUAAUACCGCAUAACCAUGAACACCGCAUGAUGUUCAUGUAAAAGACGGCUUUUGCUGUCACUUUUGGAUGGGCCUGCGGCGUAUUAACUUGUUGGUGGGGUAACGGCCUACCAAGGUGAUGAUACGUAGCCGAACUGAGAGGUUGAUCGGCCACAUUGGGACUGAGACACGGCCCAAACUCCUACGGGAGGCAGCAGUAGGGAAUCUUCCACAAUGGACGAAAGUCUGAUGGAGCAACGCCGCGUGAAUGAAGAAGGCCUUCGGGUCGUAAAAUUCUGUUGUCAGAGAAGAACGUGCGUGAGAGUAACUGUUCACGUAUUGACGGUAUCUGACCAGAAAGCCACGGCUAACUACGUGCCAGCAGCCGCGGUAAUACGUAGGUGGCAAGCGUUGUCCGGAUUUAUUGGGCGUAAAGGGAACGCAGGCGGUCUUUUAAGUCUGAUGUGAAAGCCUUCGGCUUAACCGAAGUAGUGCAUUGGAAACUGGAAGACUUGAGUGCAGAAGAGGAGAGUGGAACUCCAUGUGUAGCGGUGAAAUGCGUAGAUAUAUGGAAGAACACCAGUGGCGAAAGCGGCUCUCUGGUCUGUAACUGACGCUGAGGUUCGAAAGCGUGGGUAGCAAACAGGAUUAGAUACCCUGGUAGUCCACGCCGUAAACGAUGAGUGCUAAGUGUUGGAGGGUUUCCGCCCUUCAGUGCUGCAGCUAACGCAUUAAGCACUCCGCCUGGGGAGUACGGUCGCAAGACUGAAACUCAAAGGAAUUGACGGGGGCCCGCACAAGCGGUGGAGCAUGUGGUUUAAUUCGAAGCAACGCGAAGAACCUUACCAAGUCUUGACAUCCCGAUGACAGAACAUGUAAUGUAUUUUCUCUUCGGAGCAUCGGUGACAGGUGGUGCAUGGUUGUCGUCAGCUCGUGUCGUGAGAUGUUGGGUUAAGUCC